rnacentral:rRNA from 1 species
UACGUAGGCAGCAAGCGUUGUUCGGAAUUACUGGGCGUAAGGAGUGUGUAGGCGGUGCUCCAAGUCUGGUGUGAAAUCUCCCGGCUUAACUGGGAGGGUGCAUUAGAAACUGGAAUGCUAGAGGAUGGGAGAGGUAAGCGGAAUUCCUGGUGUAGCGGUGAAAUGCGUAGAUAUCAGGAGGAACACCUGUGGCGAAGGCGGCUCUCUGGGACGGUACUGACGCUGAGACGCGAAAGCGUGGGGAGCGAACAGG